rnacentral:rRNA from 1 species
CACCGCGGUUAUACGAGUAACACACGUUAAUACUUCACGGCGUAAAGGGUGAUUUAAGAAUUUUCAUUAAUAUUAAAGUUAAAAUUUUAUAAAGCUGUUAUACGCACUUAUAAGUAAGAAAUACAUUAACGAAAGUAACUUUAUAAAAAUUGAUUUCUUGACCUCACGACAGUUAAAACC